CACGUAGGGCGCGAGCGUUGUCCGGAAUUAUUGGGCGUAAAGAGCUCGUAGGCGGCCUGUUGCGUCCGCUGUGAAAGCCCGGGGCUUAACCCCGGGUCGGCAGUGGAUACGGGCAGGCUAGAGGUAGGUAGGGGAGAAUGGAAUUCCCGGUGUAGCGGUGAAAUGCGCAGAUAUCGGGAGGAACACCGGUGGCGAAGGCGGUUCUCUGGGCCGACACUGACGCUGAUGCGCGAAAGCCAGGGGAGCGAACGGG
rnacentral:rRNA from 1 species